rnacentral:rRNA from 1 species
ACGCGUAUGAAAGACAAGCUGAAAGACUUUUCUCAAUGACGUAAGUGGUGGUGCAUGGUCGUUCUUAGUUCGUGGAGUGAUUUGUCUGGUCUAUUCCGAUAACGAGCGAGACCCCGACGUUCCUACUAGGGGCGGCAGCCCGACUCGCGCCCUUCGGGGUGCUUGUUAGCAGUCGCCUUAAAAUAGCUUCUUAGACGGAUCAGAGCCGAUAAGGUUCUUGAAAUGGGUUAAUAACAGGUCAGUCAUGCCCUUAGAUGUUCUGGGCCGCACGCGCGUUACAAUGGUAGACAAAACGAGUGCCUUUCGGGGCGUAACCCCCGCCGACGGGUGGGGGUAACCCCUAGUAUCUCCCUUGACUGGGCCAGACUAUUGUAAUUAUUGGUCUCUAACGA